rnacentral:rRNA from 1 species
GGGGAGCCCUAGCACAGGUGCUGCAUGGCCGUCGUCAGCUCGUGCCGUGAGGUGUUGGGUUAAGUCCGCAACGAGCGCAACCCCGCCGUUAGUGCCAGCGGUUCGGCCGGGCACUCUAACGGGACUGCCCGCGAAAGCGGGAGGAAGGAGGGGGCGACGUCUGGUCAGCAUGGCCCUUACGGCCUGGGCGACACACGUGCUACAAUGCCCACUACAAAGCGAGGCCACCCGGCAACGGGGAGCUAAUCGCAAAAAGGUGGGCCCAGUUCGGAUUGGGGUCUGCAACCCGACCCCAUGAAGCCGGAAUCGCUAGUAAUCGCGGAUCAGCCAUGCCGCGGUGAAUACGUUCCCGGGCCUU